rnacentral:lncRNA from 1 species
UUUUUUUAUGCAUUUUGAAAGUUUAUGUACCUAAUUGAGUGGAAAAAAAAAGGAGCUUAAUUGUUUUUUUUUAAUUUGAGGGUUUUUUACAAUCUAAAGCAUAAAAAAAAGCAUUAUGGGUGUGUGCUAGGUGUCAGCACGAUGAAGAUCUUUUGGACCUUACUUUAAUAGAUAGGUAUAGGUAAUAAACCUUGCUUACUAAAAACGGGUAAAAAUAAAUGAAGGCCAUUGUAUCAAGAGUGAUGUAAGCACGCCCAGGUAAGCAUCUUCAAGAAGUUAUUUGGACAUUGUUAGCUCAAUUUUGGAGUGACAUUGAGCUCUAUGACAAAGAAGAAGUCCAAGCCAAUUUGUUAAAGGCUCCUUGCACCUUAGUGCAAGCUGAUCUCAGCUCGUCUCUAGCUCCUCGAACUCAACUCAGCUCCAAUCAGCUCACUUGAUCUUAUUUCAGCUCAUAUUAGCUCAAUUCAGUUUCAUUUCAGCUCAUUUUUUUAAUCAUUAAAUAAAUUAAAUGUUUAUUUUAUUUUAUUUUAUUUAUUACAACUUAUAGCCGAAUAUCCUAGCUCAAAUCAGCUCAUUAAAAUUGUUUUCACUUAUUUGAGUUAGCUGAAUUUAAUGUGUUAGCUAGUCUAAAAUUAAUUGUGUCCCAUUUAGUUUAAUUUGUUAUUUAAGUUGUCUAGUUGUUGUUUUAAUUAUGUUCAGCUGAAUAUGCAUUUGAUUUAAUGUGUUCAUGAAUUUUGUAGGUGCAGCCGAAUUUGAAAGAGCAUUUAAAGUUAGGUGCAUGCACGGCUUGGUUCAAUGUUUGGAAAGAUUCAUGUACGUCCAGGUUCAAGGCCAAGGAGUCAUGAAUGACUUGUUACAUGCAUUUUGAACUGAUUGUUGGCUUCCCUAAACACCCAUUCGGCCAAGGAGUAGCUACCAAUUAAUUCCAAAGUUGACUGAUUAGCUCCCAAGGCAGCCUUGAACAUGUUUCCACCUUGUUUUGACCAAUCAGCUUCUAUACAUGCAUGAAUAGAUGAAUUCAAGAACAUCCAAGGGGGAAUUAACACAUAAAUUCAACCCAUGAAAUUAACAACAUGCAUGCACAAUGGGGAGGACUAAUUUACAAGAUACAUGCUAUUGUUCAUAAACCUACAUUCCAUUAAAGUGACUAUUUAUGAGAAUAAAUGUUCCAUGCAAGUGCAUGAAUGACCCAAUGAGAUGAAUGAAACUUUUGGUGCUCAUACAAGGCACUUGAAGCUUUCUUCUAUGCUAAAAAUUCAUGCACAGGAAAGGGAAAGAAGAAUCUGACUAUUGAAGCUCCAUUCAACCGAAUGUGGACUUAGUCUUUUAAUGAUUUGUUCUAGAAUAUUCAAGUGCAUUCAUAGUCGAAUUACUUAGCCUUUAAGCUAGUUAUUUUUUCUAUUCGGUUAUCAUAUGUUAGGCUAUAAAUACUUAGCAUUUUUUAAUUGUAAGAGACUUUUGCCAACUUAUUGAAUGAACAUUUGUUCUUGUGAGGUUAAAUUCCUCUCCAAUUUCGUACAAGUCUCGAGUGACUUAUCUAGCUCGCUAGUAGCGUCAACCCAAACUUGUUUCUGAACUUAUCACCAAGCAUUGGUGUGGCGUUCAACUAUCUCUCUACCAUCUAUCUUUAUCACCUUAAACAAUAUAGGAACCGGGGUGACACUCUUUAAUGUUGAAUUGCUCCUGAAGUUUAAGUUCGUUUAUCCAUUUCCAUUAUCCUUCUUUGUUUAUCCUAUUAUCUUAAAACCAAGCUAUCCACAUAUCUUCUAACUUUGUCUCUAUCUAGCCAAACCUACUAUCUUAUACCUAGCCACUUUGAACCCACUUCAUUAAUAACCAUCAUCUUAAGGCGUUACAAACAAACCGAUAAUUUUGUGAACGACUCUUCUCAUCGAUGAUCAAGCAACAACGUGAAUUCAACUCCAUCUUCCCGAGCCAAAUCACAUCAAAGAGUUAGAUUGCAUUUUAUCCAUUUUACUCGAAAAAAUGAGUUAAUUAGUCCUUAGAUGUUAGAUAAAAGAGCAAAUUAGUCAUUUCUAUUAAAAAUUUUAUCAAUUUUUACUAUUAAAAAUUGACAUUGCUAAUGAAAUAAAUCGAUAGUUACACAUGGCAUGCCACAUAUACGUCAUUUUGAAAUAUAAGACUAGUUUUUAACAGUAUAAAUUGAUAAUCAAUUUUAAGCUCUACUACCCUAGCACGCUUUUGUCUGCCCUCUUGGCACGAUUUUUUCUAGGUUUUUCUUUGUUAUUUUGUUUCGUUCUCUUAUUUUGGUUGCGAUAGUUGAUGCAGAUUUAUUGGAGUUAUUAGCAAAAGUUAUCAAGGUAUAGAUUGAAUUCGAAUCAAUGGAAACGGAGUUUGUUGGAUCAUCCCUUAAUGAAGAGGAAAAAGCAGUUUUACAAUUACAAAUAGAUCCAGGUUCGAGAAGGGAAUAGGAGGAUUUAUGCUUGGUGGGUUGUUUUUUAACAGCCAUUAACAUACAUUUUCCAGUAAUGAAGAGCACCAUGGCUAAUAUAUGGCAUCCCAUUCGAGGGGUUCAAAUUUGUAAUCUGGGGGAGAAAAGGUAUUUAUUCUAAUUUUAUCAUAUCAUGGAUAUGAAAAGGGUUUUAAAGUGAUCACCGUGAUCUUUUAAUAAUCAUUUAUUGAUUUUACACAAGUUGCAAUGGGGGAGGAUCCAUUAACAGUCCCUUUAAUUUCUACACCAUUUUGGGUACAAGUUUAUGACAUUCCCAUAGGAUUUUAUUUUGAAAAUUUAGCUGUGCAAUUAGGAAAUUUCAUGGAUAUUUUAUGGAAUACGAGUGUUCAAGUUUGGGAAAGGAAAAUAGAAAUUUUGAGGAUACGUGUUUAAGUUGAUGUUCGAAGGCCUCCUAAAAUAAAGAAACAAGUCAUGGUUCGGUGGUAAAUGUUCUUAUGUCAGAUUUAAAUAUGAAAUAUUAAUUUUAUUCUAUUUUUAUUGUGGCAAGUUAGGGCAUAGUGAUUCAUUUUGUAAAGCAAAUAUGAUGUUAGGGGUGGAAGUUACUGAGAUGGGUUGGGACCUAACUCUAUGUGCCCAAUCAAAAAGAGCUUAAGCAAUGAAUAGUGUUUGACUAAGAGGGGAAGAGAGUGUGUUUGGUAGGGUAAAUGGUGGAGGACAAAAUCAAGAAUUUACAGUGGGGGGAUCGCUAAAGAAGAUGAAAGCAUAAAGGCGAUUGACCAUAUACUGGGUUUAAGUUUAGAAGGAAUAAUGCCAUCUCCACAGCUUGGGGGGAAACUUUGUAUCUAGUCAAAUCCAAAACUUUAUGGAUCAUGACUAAGAAGAUACUUUGUUAAUGGGGGAAUAAGGCAAAAAAAGGGCUAGAUGAGUGAUUGAAGAGACUAACACUAUGGCAAAUAGAAAUAGAAGGAUACCGAAAAUCAACCAGUUAUUAUCGGUAGCUGCCAAAAGGCAAGCCGACCAGACGCAAUAAAAAUAUUGACCUGGAAUGUCUGUGGACUGGGGAAUCCACUGACAGUUCGAAGACUUUUGCAUACGCUGAGGUUUCAAAGUCCCCAUAUAGUCUUCUUUAUGGAGACAAUUAAAUAGUAGUCAGAUGGAGAAAGUUCAACGUAGUUGUGGUUUUCAUUAUGGAGUGGAAGUGGAUGCGGUUGGUUCCAAAGGAGGAUUAUGUUUAGCAUAGCGAGGGGCGGUUGAUAUAAAGCUUCAAAGUUAUUCAAUUUGACAUAUUGAGGUGUUAAUUGAAGAUACAGAUGAUGGGAAAAAUAGAGAUUUACAGGGUUCUAUAGCUCUCCUUACACACAUGAUAGGGAUGAAUCAUGGCAUCUUUUGAGACGUUUACGAAAUAAUGGUGAUUACCCUUGGCUGGUUUGUGGGGACUUUAAUGAGAUUCUAUAUGGGUUUGAAGAGAAAGGUGGAUUAUCUAGAGAUGAGAGAAGGACAGAAGCUUUUUGAAAAGUGUUAGAAGACUGUAACUUGAUUGAUGUAGGAUACUCAGGAAGAUGGUUUACUUGGGAGAGGGAUAACUUGCUAGAAACGAAUAUUCAGGAGAGAUUAGAUAGGGGUGUAGUGACUAAAGAAUGGAUAUCUUUGUUUCCUGAAUUGUCAAUUCAACACCUUACUCAUUCCUUUUCAGAUCAUUGCCUUUUACUCAUCUCUACAUAUAGGAGAAAGAGAAGACAGAUUGCUAAGAAUUUUAAGUUUGAAGCUUGGUGGAUUUUGGAAUAUACGUUUUUAGAGGAGGUCUGAAGAAUUUGGGAAAAUUCAAAUGGAGAUCUUUUACACAAGUUGGAGAAUGAGGAAAGAUUUAGAAGGAUGGACAAAGUAGAUUAGCAGAAGUAGAAAGUUUAAAAAGGAGGUGUUCACCUCCAAAUUGUCAACUUUAUUGGAAGCUGAUAGAAACGACGAAAAUCUGGCAGAUAUAAUAGAUACUAAAAUUCUAUUGAAUUUUGAAAUUGAGAAAGAUGAAUGUUACUGGGAACAGAGGGCUCGAAUUAAUUGGUUGAAACUUGGAGACAGAAAUACUGCAUUUUUCAUAAACAAGCAACUCAAAGGAAAAUGAGAAAUCCGAUUCAGAAAAUGCAAUUUGAAGAUGACAAGAUAACAGAAAAAGAUAAGGACAUGGGGGAAAUCGCGAGAGAUUAUUUUCAGAAAUUAUUCUCGACAGUUGCGCAAGGAAAUUUGGAUCAAAUUCUAUCUAGCAUUGAUUGAUGUGUUUCCAAAUAAGACAAUCGAAUAUUAACAUCAAGGUAUACAAAGGACGAGAUAUGGGAAGCUUUAUCAGAAUUAGGUCCCACAAAAGCACCAGGAGAUGAUGGAUUUCCAGCCUUAUUUUAUCAAAAGUGUUGGCCCAUUAUUGGUGAGGAUGUUUUAGAAUUUUGCCUUCAGAAACUGAACAGAGAUAUGGACUUAGGCUUCAUCAAUAAAACAAACAUUGUGCUCAUACCAAAAAUUUCUAGCCCUACCAGUAUUAUUCAAUUUCGACCUACAAGUCUAUGCAAUGUGCUGUAUAAAUUGAUAGGUAAGAUGAUUGCCAAUCGGCUUCGGGUAAUGGUUGAAAAAUGUAUUGAUUUAGCACAAAGUGCUUUUGUACCAGGGAGGUUGAUUUUUGACAAUGUAUUGCUUUCAUACGAAAUACUGCAUAUCUUAAAGCAAAAGAAAUUGGGAAUAAAAGGUCUAAUGGCGAUAAAGUUAGAUAUGAGCAAGGCAUAUGACAGAGUUGAAUGGAAUUUUGUGAAAGAGAUUAUGAAGAAAAUGAGGUUUGAUGCAGGAUAGGUCGAGUCUCUAAUGAAAAGUGUGUCCAUAGUUUCGUAUUUUGUUGUUCUUAAUGGAAAUACAGGGGAAACUUUUUAUCCUUCUAGAGGUUUAUGGCAAGAAGAUCCUUUAAGUCCAUUUUUGUUUCUAUUUUGUGGGAAAGGUCUUUCUAGCCUGAUGAGGAUAGUAAGGAAAAUUCUUAAAUGAGUGAAAGCAAGUCGAAGUGGGCCAUCUAUUUCUCACUUACUCUUUGCGAACGAUUGCAUUCUGUUUACAUAAGCUACUGAAGGAGGAGCGCAAUCUCUCAAAUUGAUUUUAAAAGAAUAUGAAAUAUGCUUAGGACAGUGUGUUAAUUAUGAAAAUUUAACGGUGUUCUUCAGUUCAAAUACACAAGAUGAGGUCAAAACAUCAGUCUCAAGCAUCCUUGGUGUAUGAAGAUCAACAGAUCCAGAAUGGUAUUUAGGGCUUCCAAAUUUGGUGGGAAGGAAGAAAAGAUCGUCUUUCCAAGCUUUAAAAGAUAGAUUCAAACAAAGGAUCCACAAUUGGAGUAUAAGACAUCUUUCACAAUGAGGAAAAGAAAUUUUCAUUAAAGCCAUUCUACAGUCUAUCCCUACCUACACUAUGGCUCGUUUUUUACUCCCUAAAUCCUUGUGUAUCGAGUUGAAGAGAAUUAUAGCUAAAUUCUAGUGGCAAAGAGGUUGAAAUAAAAAAGGAAUUCCUUAGUGUGUUUGGAAGGAAUUAUGUUCGUUAAAAGAAGAUGGUGGACUUGGUUUUUGUGAUAUUGCAAAAUUUAAUAUAGCGUUGUUAGCAAAACAAGGUUAGCGUCUUGUUAAUUUUCCAGAUUCAUUAUUAGCGUGUGUCUUGAAAGUAAAAUAUGUCCCAACUCAGAUUUUUAUAAAGCUCGGUUAGGGAAUUUACCUUCGCUUACUUGGAGAAGCGUUUGGGCAGUAAGAGGUCUCUUGGAGAAAGGCUUAUGCUGAAGGGUUGGAACAGGUGAUAAAAUUUCUGUAUUGGGAUAUUUGUGGAUAUUAGGAAACGAAACAGACUGUUUGCAACAUCAUGGAAAUCAAGAAAACAUCAAGUUAGUGUCAGAUUUAAUAGAAAUCAAUAAUAGAACUUGGAACACAGAUGUUGUAAUGAUUACCUUUCAACUGGAAAUUGAGAGGAAAAUUUUGCAGAUCCCACUGGCAGAGUUAGCACACGAGGACUUUCAAGUUUGGAGGGGGAGUUUUCUAGUGAGUUCUCGGUAAUAAGUUUCUAUAAACUAUUACAAGAGACUAACAAGGAUCCUAAUAAUCUUAAUUUACAGACUGAGACUAAUAACUUUUACAAAAAAUUGUGGAAGCUAUACAUCCCUUCAAAAGUUACAUUAACAUUAUGGAGAAUAUCUUGGAAUUUCAUCCCUUCAUUAGUCAAUCUCAAGCAGAAGAAAGCAGUAGAUAAUGCUCUUUGCCCUCGAUGCCAACAAAAUGAGGAAAACAAUUAUCAUAUUUUUCAGUAGUGUCCUAUGACAAGAGAGGUUUGGAAUCAUUUAAAGCUCUCAUGGGUACUUAAUCAUAAUUACCAGAAUGUGUGGGAAUGGCUUACCUGAGUUUUUAAUUAGGGAACGACUGAACAGAUUCACUAUUUUUGCUGCGGACUUUGGCUAGUCUGGUUCAACAGGAAUCGGUUAAUAUAUGAUAAAAUAAAUGUGCCAGGGAGGGACAUUGCGAAGCAAACUUACAGUUAUAUUUAUGAGUUGCACGGGAUCAAAGAGAAGCGACUUAUUGUUCAGUCUAAUGGAGAUGCUACACAGGAAAGAAGAAAAUCAGAGGUCACAAUUUAUUUUGACGCAGCUUUUGACCAAUAAGCCUUCAGAUCGGCCUUAGGACUAAUAGUACGAGACGCGGAAAGAAGAAUUCUAGCAUUAAAGACGACCAUCCAUUUUGAAAUCGCAAAUCCAUUUGUGGUAGAGGCGUAUACAGGGUUACAAGCAGUCAAGUUAAGGUUAUUCAUGGGUCUUAAUAAACUGGAAUUUUUGGGAGAUUCAAAGACUGUAAUUAAAAAAUGCCAGAACACAGAGAUAGACAAAUCGAACAUCGGUGUGAUCAUCAGAGAUAUUCAGCGUAAGAAAGGUAGAUUUCAAGAGAUAAAGUUUCAUUUCAUACCCAAAACAGAAAAUUUCUACGCUCAUACUUUGGCGAAAGAGGCGCUAAAGAGAGGAGAUAACCAUUACCUGGUAGGAGGACUUCCAAAAUUUGCUCGCCAAGUAUCGGAAGAAUGGAGGCGUAGAGAAUCGGAUUGAAAGAAAAUGGAGAUGAAUGACCGUUUGGAAGAGGUAAUAGGAAAAAUUAAUUGCUGCCCUUGGAAACUGUUACCGUCACAAUGUUGGAGAGGGCAUGAAAAGACGACACAUUGAAGAUCCAGCUGUGGAUUUGACUGGACAAGACUUAUUAGGUUUCUUGUUUUGUUUUUUUAAUUUUUCAGAUUCAUGGACCAUUUAAUUUUAUUAGGCCGGCUUUGCUAUAUGUGCAAGCUUUGUA